rnacentral:lncRNA from 11 species
GACAGAGUCCAGAAGAGAGCAAACAAAGAUGGAGAGCAGAAAAUUGCCUCAUCCAAGGGAACAUGCCUUUGUAAACAUGCCGGCUGAUCUUAGGUGUGAUGUUUAGCUGUACUCAUCUCUCGGCUUCUUCCCGUUGCCCUCCAGCUCGCUGUUGACUCGUUCACAUUGUAGGGAAAGAAAAGUUGUAAGAGCAAGCUGGCACAGAGGAAGGAAAGGGCUUUAAUGGAAAGCUUGGUGCCAAAGAAUGCUGCAGGAGGUGACAAGCCCCAAAUGAGAAGGAAAGUUACUAUUGCUGGAACCUGCUCAGAAAAAGCCAUUAUCCAAAUUAAGAUUCUACGAUAGAUGCCGACCAGGAUUUGGUUUCCAGACCCCUUUCCACUUUGGUGGUUCUUCUCUGGAUGUCCUUCUAAAAUGCUGACGAAAGCAGAAUAGAGUACACCCAUGAACCCAUAUCUGUGGGGAAUAUGUUCCAAGAUCCAUAUCCUGUGGAUUCUUGAAACCAUGGAUAAUAGCAAAGCCUCUACUUGGAUUGGAAGCAUGGAAUUGCAAUGGAGAACUUAGAAAGGUCUACAAACACUUUGGUUGAGGAGAUAUUUUUGGAACAUGAGCAAGUGGAACUAUGGAUAUUGAAUCCACAGAUAAGAGGGUCAUAUUCCAUUCCCUUCCCGGACCACUAUGUUGGUGCGUUUAACCUUCUGCGACAUCUACAUUACGCUUUGAGCUAUAGCAAAGCGUUUACCUGGGCAGUGAACUCUACCAAGCCACUUUCCAAAUCAGUGAUUUAUCUGAUACAUUUGUGA